rnacentral:rRNA from 1 species
UACGUAGGGUGCAAGCGUUGUCCGGAAUUAUUGGGCGUAAAGAGCUCGUAGGCGGUUUGUCGCGUCUGCUGUGAAAUCUGGGGGCUCAACCCCCAGCCUGCAGUGGGUACGGGCAGACUAGAGUGCGGUAGGGGAGAUUGGAAUUCCCGGUGUAGCGGUGAAAUGUGUAGAGAUCGGGAGGAACACCGGUGGCGAAGGCGGGUCUCUGGGCAUCUCCUGACGCUGAGGCGCGAAAGCGUGGGGAGCAAACGGG